rnacentral:rRNA from 1 species
CAAGGCUUGACAUGAACCCGGAAAGACCUGGAAACAGGUGCCCCGCUUGCGGUCGGUUUACAGGUGGUGCAUGGUUGUCGUCAGCUCGUGUCGUGAGAUGUUGGGUUAAGUCCCGCAACGAGCGCAACCCUCGUUCUAUGUUGCCAGCGGUUCGGCCGGGGACUCAUAGGAGACUGCCGGGGUCAACUCGGAGGAAGGUGGGGACGACGUCAAAUCAUCAUGCCCCUUAUGUCUUGGGCUUCACGCAUGCUACAAUGGCCGGUACAAAGGGUUGCGAUACUGUGAGGUGGAGCUAAUCCCAAAAAGCCGGUCUCAGUUCGGAUUGGGGUCUGCAACUCGACCCCAUGAAGUCGGAGUCGCUAGUAAUCGCAGAUCAGCAACGCUGCGGUGAAUACGUUCCCGGGCCUUGUACACACCGCCCGUCAAGUCCCGAAAGUUGGUAACCCCCGAAACCGGUGGCCUAACCCUUGUGGGGGGAACCGUUGAAGGUGGGACCGGCCAUUGGGGCUA